rnacentral:ncRNA from 1 species
AUGAGAGCUUCGACGAUUACGGCAGGCAAAAGCACGUUACCCACUACAUCGUGGUUGAGCAGACUUUAGAGGUCGCUGUUCUGAGCUUAACGUCUGUUUUAACUGAAACGCCGCAUUCUACACUACAACGCUAAGACGGGGAAAUGUUCAACGUGUAAGGAGAGCGGGAACUGGAAAGCGCCUCGCUUUUCCCUGUAAAACACUGCAACGCAGGAAAAGCGCAAGCUUAUCGGGCUACCAACCUAACGGGCAGAUAAUGUAUAUUGCCGUUGGUCAGGCCAGCAAAACGCUCACUGGCGCAUUUCGAUUGAGGUAGUUUCGACACGAACAAGGCCAGGCGGGAGGGCAACGUUUAAAAUCACUGGCUGCCAGGCGUCGCGCUCCGACAGUUUUCGGGAAUAGCCGCGGGCAACCAGAAACCCGCCCAUGCCGCCCAGCACGGCCCCGCUUAAUGCGGCAAGGUCAGAUCCAAACAGUACCUGAAAAAGCGCCGCACAGAAAAAUAGCCCCGCUAAAGGCGACAUAUAUACCAGCAGCGCUGAACCUAAGAGGCUUUUUUCGGCGAUUCCCAGCUCGACUUUCUGCCCUGGCGCCAGCGGCUCCGCGCUUGGCACAACAAUCGUAUGGCUGGUUUGCGGCCCUAAUUUAUUCAGUACGCGACUGCCGCAUCCCGCGCGGGAGGCGCAACUGCUGCACGACGCUUUAACAUCGCAGCUCACCACCGCCUGACCAUUCUGCCAGGAGACAACUGUUGCCCACUCUUUAAUCAUUGUACUGCCCUGAAUUUGAUACUGUCGGCAAUGCGC